GGGUUGUGAGGUUAAGCGACUAAGCGUACACGGUGGAUGCCCUGGCAGUCAGAGGCGAUGAAGGACGUGCUAAUCUGCGAUAAGCGUCGGUAAGGUGAUAUGAACCGUUAUAACCGGCGAUUUCCGAAUGGGGAAACCCAGUGUGUUUCGACACACUAUCAUUAACUGAAUCCAUAGGUUAAUGAGGCGAACCGGGGGAACUGAAACAUCUAAGUACCCCGAGGAAAAGAAAUCAACCGAGAUUCCCCCAGUAGCGGCGAGCGAACGGGGAGGAGCCCAGAGCCUGAAUCAGUGUGUGUGUUAGUGGAAGCGUCUGGAAAGGCGCGCGAUACAGGGUGACAGCCCCG
rnacentral:rRNA from 1 species